GACGAACGCUGGCGGCGUGCUUAACACAUGCAAGUCGAACGGUGACCUCGAGAGCUUGCUCUCGGGCGAUCAGUGGCGAACGGGUGAGUAACACGUGAGUAACCUGCCCCAGACUCUGGAAUAACAAUUGGAAACAGUUGCUAAUACCGGAUACGACACGAACGGGCAUCCGUAUCGUGUGGAAAGUUUUUCGGUCUGGGAUGGACUCGCGGCCUAUCAGCUUGUUGGUGAGGUAAUGGCUCACCAAGGCGACGACGGGUAGCCGGCCUGAGAGGGCGACCGGCCACACUGGGACUGAGACACGGCCCAGACUCCUACGGGAGGCAGCAGUGGGGAAUAUUGCACAAUGGGCGAAAGCCUGAUGCAGCGACGCCGCGUGAGGGAUGAAGGCCUUCGGGUUGUAAACCUCUUUCAGUAGGGAAGAAGCGAAAGUGACGGUACCUGCAGAAAAAGCACCGGCUAACUACGUGCCAGCCGCUGCGGUAACAC
rnacentral:rRNA from 1 species